rnacentral:rRNA from 1 species
GAUGAACGCUGGCGGCGUGCCUAAUACAUGCAAGUCGAGCGAACAGAUGAGGAGCUUGCUCCUCUGACGUUAGCGGCGGACGGGUGAGUAACACGUGGAUAACCUACCUAUAAGACUGGGAUAACCUCGGGAAACCGGAGCUAAUACCGGAUAAUAUAUUGAACCGCAUGGUUCAAUAGUGAAAGUCGGUUUUGCUGUCACUUAUAGAUGGUUCCGCGCCGCAUUAGCUAGUUGGUAAGGUAACGGCUUAUCAAGGCGACGAGGCGUAGCCGACGGGAGAGAGUGAUCGGCCGCACGAGAGGGGAGACGGGGACAUGGGUCCUGCGAGAGGCAGCAGAAGGGAAUCUGCCGCAAUAGGCGGAAACCUGACAGAGUGGCGGGGCGUGUGAGAUGGAGAUGUUCGGAUCGUGAUACUCUGUUAUGGGUGGAAAACAGAUGUGUAAGGAGAUGUACACGUCUUGACGGUACCUGAUCAAGAAGCAACGGCUAACUACGUG